UACAGAGGUCUCAAGCGUUGUUCGGAUUCAUUGGGCGUAAAGGGUGCGUAGGCGGCGCGGUAAGUCGGGUGUGAAAUCUUGGAGCUUAACUCCGAAACUGCAUUCGAUACUGCCGUGCUUGAGGACUGGAGAGGAGACUGGAAUUUACGGUGUAGCGGUGAAAUGCGUAGAUAUCGUAAGGAAGACCAGUGGCGAAGGCGGGUCUCGUGGACAGUUCCUGACGCUGAGGCACGAAGGCCAGGGGGAGCAAAACGGGG
rnacentral:rRNA from 1 species